rnacentral:tRNA from 4 species
GCACUCAUGGUGAAAUGGAUAUCACGACAGUCUUCGGAACUGUUAUUGGGGGUUCGAAUCCCUCUGGGUGCACAA